CCCUUAGAUGUUCUGGGCCGCACGCGUGCUACACUGAGUGGAUCAGCGGGUCAGGUUACGCGAGAGCGUUUCCUAAUCUUCAAAUCCGCUCGUGCUGGGGAUUGACGGUUGCAAUUUUCCGUCAUGAACGAGGAAUACCUUGUAAGCGCGGGUCAUCAUCCCGCGCUGAAUACGUCCCUGCCCUUUGUACACACCGCCCGUCGCUCCUACCGAUUGAGUGGUCCGGUGAGGCUUUGGGAUCUAAGCGAAAAGAGCGUUUCGCUCCUUUUGCUGGGAGAACUCAGUCGAACCUUAUCAUUUAGAGGAAGGAGAAGUCGUAACA
rnacentral:rRNA from 1 species